rnacentral:rRNA from 1 species
AGAGUUUGAUCCUGGCUCAGGAUGAACGCUAGCGGCAGGCUUAACACAUGCAAGUCGAGGGGCAUCGGGAGGGAAGCUUGCUUUCCUUGCCGGCGACCGGCGCACGGGUGAGUAACACGUAUGCAACCUGCCCUCUUCAGGGGGACAACCUUCCGAAAGGGAGGCUAAUCCCGCGUAUAUCGGUUUCGGGCAUCCGAGAUCGAGGAAAGAUUCAUCGGAAGAGGAUGGGCAUGCGGCGCAUUAGCUAGACGGCGGGGUAACGGCCCACCGUGGCGACGAUGCGUAGGGGUUCUGAGAGGAAGGUCCCCCACACUGGUACUGAGACACGGACCAGACUCCUACGGGAGGCAGCAGUGAGGAAUAUUGGUCAAUGGGAGAGAUCCUGAACCAGCCAAGCCGCGUGAGGGAAGACGGCCCUAUGGGUUGUAAACCUCUUUUGUCGGAGAACAGAACCCGGGACGUGUCCCGGACUGCGUGUAUCCGAAGAAAAAGCAUCGGCUAACUCUGUGCCAGCAGCCGCGGUAAUACGGAGGAUGCGAGCGUUAUCCGGAUUUAUUGGGUUUAAAGGGUGCGUAGGCGGUCUGUUAAGUCAGCGGUAAAAUUGCGGGGCUCAACCCCGUCGAGCCGUUGAAACUGGCAGGCUUGAGUUGGCGAGAAGUACGCGGAAUGCGCGGUGUAGCGGUGAAAUGCAUAGAUAUCGCGCAGAACUCCGAUUGCGAAGGCAGCGUACCGGCGCCAGACUGACGCUGAGGCACGAAGGCGUGGGGAUCGAACAGGAUUAGAUACCCUGGUAGUCCACGCAGUAAACGAUGAAUGCUGGUUGUCCGGGUCGAAUGAGAUCUGGGCGGCGAAGCGAAAGCGAUAAGCAUUCCACCUGGGGAGUACGCCGGCAACGGUGAAACUCAAAGGAAUUGACGGGGGCCCGCACAAGCGGAGGAACAUGUGGUUUAAUUCGAUGAUACGCGAGGAACCUUACCCGGGCUCAAACGACACAGGCAUACUUUUGAAAGGAGGUAGCCCUUCGGGGUCUGUGUCGAGGUGCUGCAUGGUUGUCGUCAGCUCGUGCCGUGAGGUGUCGGCUUAAGUGCCAUAACGAGCGCAACCCCUAUCGCCAGUUACCAUCAAGUAAAGUUGGGGACUCUGGCGAGACUGCCGGCGCAAGCUGUGAGGAAGGCGGGGAUGACGUCAAAUCAGCACGGCCCUUACGUCCGGGGCGACACACGUGUUACAAUGGGUGGUACAGCGGGAAGCCAGGCGGCGACGCCGAGCGGAACCCGAAAUCCACUCUCAGUUCGGAUCGGAGUCUGCAACCCGACUCCGUGAAGCUGGAUUCGCUAGUAAUCGCGCAUCAGCCAUGGCGCGGUGAAUACGUUCCCGGGCCUUGCACACACCGCCCGUCA